CUCGCGACGACACCAUUCACUCUCUCAGUCUCACUCACACUCUCCUGUAAUUUUCGGGAGGAGAUUUGGAAGAUUCUCGCUGUCUUCGUAGUCAAGGCUAAGUCAAGUUACAGCACUUCCAGAAGAUAUUGUUUUCCCCCUGAGGACGCUCUUGGAGGUUGCUGCAAUGGAGCAGAAAUUGGCAGACCCCACCUUCCACAAAACAAGUGGUUGGCGUGGUGGCAGAAAUUGGAGGAAGAACAUUGGAUGAAGUCACCAGAAGAAUGAUGGCCUUCCUUUUAGACCACUCCCUAUCAAGAGAGUACAAUUUUGUUGGCUGCCAUGGAAAGCAAGAGUUUCGGGGCUCAAACUGUUUGAGUUUGUAUAUGGGCCGUUGGGAGAGCGACAACAGAGGACUGAGAUUCUGCACUUUUGUUUUUGUAUGUGAAAUAAAGAGUUUUCUGACAGAGGA
ensembl:lncRNA